CCUACGGGGUGCAGCAGUGGGGAAUAUUGCGCAAUGGGCGAAAGCCUGAACCAGCCAUGCCGCGUGCAGGAAGACGGCUCUAUGAGUUGUAAACUGCUUUUGUACAAGGGUAAACCUGAAUACGUGUAUUCAGCUGAAAGUACUGUACGAAUAAGGAUCGGCUAACUCCGUGCCAGCAGCCGCGGUAAUACGGAGGAUCCAAGCGUUAUCCGGAUUUAUUGGGUUUAAAGGGUGCGUAGGCGGAUUGAUAAGUUAGAGGUGAAAUGUCCGAGCUUAACUCGGGAACUGCCUCUAAUACUGUUGAUCUAGAGAGUAGAUGCGGUAGGCGGAAUGUAUGGUGUAGCGGUGAAAUGCUUAGAGAGCAUACAGAACACCGAUUGCGAAGGCAGCUUACCAAUCUAUAUCUGACGUUGAGGCACGAAAGCGUGGGGAGCAAACAGGAUUAGAUACCCGGGUAGUC
rnacentral:rRNA from 1 species